UGUUUCAUGAUGUUAGUUAAACAUUAGGUACAACAUAUAGACUUCUCACCACUACUGAUGGGAAGGAGACUCCCUGGUGAUGGGAAGAUUGCACUUUUCCUCCGUCCCCACUCGCCCAGCAUCACAGAUCAUCAGCAGCACACUUCUGAAAGAGCUCGGCUGUGGCCACAGGAGCGGGAUUUUGAGAGCACAGAGCUUUCUGCCUCCGAGGACACGGUGGGGGGUUCGUGGAGCAUCCCCAGCUGGGCUGAAGACAAACAUGGCCACGGGCAAAAUCUACCCUCAUUAGCAGAUGCUAGAUUUUCCUCAGAUCUCUCAUCAGCAGGAGGCAGACACCGUAUCUGGUAG
rnacentral:lncRNA from 1 species